GGAAACGCCCGGUUACAUUCCGAACCCGGAAGCUAAGCCUUUCAGCGCCGAUGGUACUGCAGGGGGGACCCUGUGGGAGAGUAGGACGCCGCCGAAC
rfam:Streptomyces sp. Root431 contig_6, whole genome shotgun sequence.